rnacentral:lncRNA from 1 species
UGAGGCAUCAAUAAAAAUUGGUAAAAAUAAGGUGGACCUACAUAGACGGGGCUAGGGCACUUGCCCCCCCUAUUUUGUAGUGCAAAAAAUAGUUAAUAAAUUUGUAUCAUUUUCAAGCUUUGUAAUUAGCAAUUUAAGGUGUGCUCUACUCAAGAUUCACCUAGGUCCACUGCUUGGAAAGGUGCUGCCAAAGGAGUUGUAUGGG